GCCUACGGGGCGCAGCAGUAGGGAAUCUUCCACAAUGGGCGAAAGCCUGAUGAAGCAACGCCGCGUGGGUGAAGAAGGUCUUCGGAUCGUAAAACCCUGUUGUUAGAGAAGAAAGUGCGUGAGAGUAACUGUUCACGUUUCGACGGUAUCUAACCAGAAAGCCACGGCUAACUACGUGCCAGCAGCCGCGGUAAUACGUAGGUGGCAAGCGUUAUCCGGAUUUAUUGGGCGUAAAGAGAACGCAGGCGGUCUUUUAAGUCUGAUGUGAAAGCCUUUGGCUUAACCGGAGUAGUGCAUUGGAAACU
rnacentral:rRNA from 1 species